ensembl:lncRNA
CUCGGCUCUCCUUCAACUGAAUGUUCCAGGCAGUGUGAGCACAAGUGUGUACCACCAUCACCUUGCCUGCUUGGGCAACAGAUGGGUUCACACUCCAGUGUGUCCCACUGAGAACAUAUCUGCACUCUUAAUGCAAUUUCUGGAAUUUCUGGAAGAAGUAAUUUCUGAAGUUAAUUUAAAGAUGUGUAGGAGAAUUGCAGCCCCCUCCCCCCCUCUCCACUCCUUCAUGCUUCCUGAUGAAGCCAAGUAUUCAGACUUGCCUUUGCUUGCUGUACAGAGCUAUCUGUGUGUGCCCAGCAAGCCUGGUGCACCCUGACAUACCACACAUGUGCUGGCCAUCUGUACAGUGCACAGGCAGGAGGUUCAGUGAGAUGCGUAUUUCUGCCUGUGAUAUUCUGGACAAAGAAAUGGGAGCCAUGUCCAUUUGCACUCACAUCAUGCUAACUUGGAGUGACCACACACUUGGUCAGUGCACCAGAGCUGUGGGUCUCCUCACUCAUUAUGAGCUGUGGGGUUUUCUCCUUUCAUCUCUAGUUACUCUGUUAGUGCCUGUACUGAUCUCUGUUUGACUCACCUUUCAGUCAGACAGGCUGAGGAAGUGGUUACCCUUUGCAACUGCAAUCAUGUGAAAGUUCUCUGAGCAGAGCCUCUCACAUACUCAAUUAUCCCUUCAGUGAAGUGAUUUGCACUGCUGUGGGCGGGUAGACCCGAACUCCCAGUGCACCACACUCAUUUAUCAGGUGAAAUGAGGCAAAGAAAGCAAGGUCAGAGAGUGUCCAUGCUGCUUACAAGCUGCAGAACCCUCAGGGCUGUCAUUGCCCAGAUUACUUAAAAUCUCAUUCCCUUCCCACUGUAUGAUUCCCCUUAUCAGCAGCUGCUCUCCACUCACUAGUGAGAGGAAGCAUAUUCGUUUAUGUUACCCUGUCCAAGAGCGCAAUGGGCACUGAAGACAAAAGCUACAACAGUGCUAUCCAUGCUAGUGAAAUAGGCUUCCUUCAGUCUUGGAGAGUCUGCUGAGAGAUGCUCAUCCUCCUGACAGGUUUUGGACACUACUUGAAAAAUUGACUACACCCGAACAAAGAGUGAUCACUGCACAGGCCUCAUCUGAGAGAUUUCCCCCAUUUUCUCUGCUUUCCCAAGUCAGAAAAAUGCCAUUUCAAAGUGGUCUCUGAGAACAGUUUUCAGAAGGAAAUCUGAAAUGCAAGCAUAUGAAAAUGGCAAAGGUGAAACUGGAUGUUAAAUGAAUACCUGAGUGGGAGGACAGAAUCAAUGGAAUAAUGGAGAAUAAUGAAAAAACCUAAGAACUACUUCUUUUGGACAGAACAAGAGAAGCACAAGAGUUCUCUGACCCAGUGGACCAUAAGAGCUAAACACCUAUGAUACAUACGGGAAGGAGAGACCAAGAAAUGCAGUUAUCUACUCUAAGGCCAUUAUUGCUCUGGGUGCACUUUGAAGGAUUUCUGAAGGAUCUGCCCUUCUCUACUGAAGACAGUCAGAAUGGCUUCAUAAAGCCAGGCUUGGGCACUGUGGUAUGAAUAUUAAAGAAUGCAUUAGUUUCUUUUCAUAUCUCUUGAAUAAUUUCACAACAAGUAACAGUAGCAUUGUCCUCCUGGUGAAAUAGGUGAAAAUCUACACCAAAUUGAACUAAUUCAGGGCUACCUAAUCCCCAGCAACAAUGCUAGAAACCACGCUGUUCUUUGCUCAUUACUUUGAGCCAUUUUUCCCAUUAAACUUCUCCUUUUUAAUAAAGGGC